GGGGAUUUGGCUCAGUGGUAGAGCACUUGCCUAGCAAGCAUAAGGCCCUGGGUUCGGUCCCCAGCUCCA
rnacentral:tRNA from 1 species